GCAAAUAGCUUGUGUUGAGUCGUUGACUUUGCAGCAGUCCCCAAUACAGAGCAUGCAUGUAGCGGCACUGCAGCAGAACUCCACUCUACCAGGAACCCGGCCGACGGGUAAAAGGUGACUACAAAAACUCCAGCGACUGAUGAAGGAGAAAAGUCCUCAAGUGACCCACCCACUCCCCGACUGCUCCCGAUGGAAAAGGCCUUCAUUGCCCCCACCGCUGAUGGAUGACCUCAGUGACCCUGCCAUCGGGCUCAGAUGUCUUCCUCAAGAAACGCUGCAGGUAUUUUGCAGCAGAGAGGAAUUCUCCUGGAUCAUCUAGUUUUUCGUCCCGGAUUUCGUCCUUCAUCGGAUCCCCUUCAUCGGACAGAAAAGGCCCUCAUCUCCUCCUCCCACCCCCUGCUGAUGGAUGACCUCAGUGACCCUACGAUCGAGUUCAGCAGUUUUCCUCAAGAAAUGUUGCAGGAAUCCACCUUGAUUGGCUGUUGUUUUUUUUUUCCUCUCAGAUUUUGCCCUUCAUCGCCAGACAGAAGAAAUAGCCGAACUUGAAACACUUAUCAAAACAACAUCAGUUUAUCUUUGUUUUUCUUUCUACCAAAAACUGGAUCAGUCUUCAAUCUGGAGCUACACCUGGUCUCCUGUUCUGAUUAGCUGUGGUUGCUUCCUGGAGGAGGGCAUUGGCUGAUAUGAUGCUGCCAUCACCCAACUUUAAAAACAGGGGGCGACAGCAAAUCGCUUGUGUUGAGUCGUUGACUUUGCAGCAGUCCCCAAUCCAGAGCAUGCAUGUAGCGGCAGUGCAGCAGAACUUCACUCUACCAGGAACCCGGCCGACGGGUAAAAGGUGACUAGAAAAACCCCAGCUACUGAUAGAGAAAAGUCCUCAAGUGACCCACCCACUCCCCGACUGCUCCCGAUGGAAAAGGCCUUCAUUGCCCCCACCGCUGAUGGAUGACCUCAGUGACCCUGCCAUCGGGCUCAGAUGUCUUCCUCAAGAAACGCUGCAGGUAUUUUGCAGCAGAGAGGAAUUCUCCUGGAUCAUCUAGUUUUUCGUCCCGGAUUUCGUCCUUCAUCGGAUCCCCAUCAUCGGACAGAAAAGGCCCUCAUCUCCUCCUCCCACCCCUUGCUGAUGGAUGACCUCAGUGACCCUACGAUCGGGUUCAGCAGUUUUCCUCAAGAAAUGUUGUCAGAUUUUGCCCUUCAUCGCCAGACAGAAGAAAUAGCCGAACUUGAAACACUUAUCAAAACAUCAGUUUAUCUUUUUUUUUUUUGUUUCUACCAAAAACUGUAUAAGUCUUCAAUCUGGUACUUUAUAAUUAAUUAUGUUUUAUUUAUUUUAGAUAAAAUGUCUUCCAAUUUUAGUUAAAUGUUAGAAUUUAUUGUUUAUUGAUUUUUGAGAAUGUGUUUUUACAUCAUUUUAUUGUUGCCAUGGCUUAUACUGGUCCAUUGUGAUUUAUGCUGCUGUUUGUCAUUUUCUGUUUUUUUACUGCAUUAUUUAUUUCAACGGCUUUUGUUUUCUCAGUUUUUUCUUUCCACAGGAGCUACACCUGGUCUCGUGUUCUGAUUAGCUGUGGUUGCUUCCUGGAGGAGGGCAUUGGCUGACAUGAUGCUGCCAUCACCUAACAUUUCUCCCUCUCCUUUUCAUUUCCAUGAACAUGGAAAGUUCUCCUGAUAGGUAGACCUGUUGUUGUGUCUCUGCUCGGUCUUCCUUCACCUCCAGUCGGUCGUGUCAGAUGGCUGCUGGUGCUGAGCCCGGUUCUGGUUCUGUUGAAGAUUUCUUCCUGGUAGAGUGGAGUUCUGCUGCACUGCCGCUACAUGCAUGCUCUUUAUUGGGGACUGCUGCAAAGUCAACGACUCAACACAAGCGAUUUGCUGUCGCC